CAACUUGAGAGUUUGAUCCUGGCUCAGAACGAACGCUUGCGGCAGGCCUAACACAUGCAAGUCGAACGGGCGUAGCAAUACGUCAGUGGCAGACGGGUGAGUAACACGUGGGAACAUACCCCUCGGUUCGGAAUAACUCAGGGAAACUUGAGCUAAUACCGGAUACGGCCGGGAGGCGAAAGAUUUAUCGCCGAGGGAUUGGCCCGCGUCCGAUUAGCUA
rnacentral:rRNA from 1 species